rnacentral:rRNA from 1 species
GAUGAACGCUAGCUACAGGCUUAACACAUGCAAGUCGAGGGGAAACGACAUCGAAAGCUUGCUUUUGAUGGGCGUCGACCGGCGCACGGGUGAGUAACGCGUAUCCAACCUGCCCAUCACUUGGGAAUAACCUUGCGAAAGUAAGACUAAUACCCAAUGAUAUCCCACGAAGGCAUCGGAAUGGGAUUAAAGAUUUAUCGGUGAUGGAUGGGGAUGCGUCUGAUUAGCUUGUUGGCGGGGUAACGGCCCACCAAGGCAACGAUCAGUAGGGGUUCUGAGAGGAAGGUCCCCCACAUUGGAACUGAGACACGGACCAAACUCCUACGGGAGGCAGCAGUGAGGAAUAUUGGGCAGUGGGCGAGAGCCUGAACCAGCCAAGUAGCGUGCAGGAAGACGGCCCUAUGGGUUGUAAACUGCUUUUAUAAGGGAAUAAAGUGGGUAACGUGUGACUUUUUGCAUGUACCUUAUGAAUAAGGACCGGCUAAUUCCGUG